rnacentral:rRNA from 1 species
UAUAUAAAAUAUUUUGAUGAAUAUUUAUAUAAUAUUAACAUAAUUCAUAUUACUAUAUAUUUUAGUAUAUGAAAUUUUACUUUGAGAAAAUUAGAGUGCUUAAAGCAGGCAUAUGCCUUGAAUACUCCAGCAUGGAAUAAUAUUAAAGAUUUUUAUCUUUUUUAUUGGUUCUAAGAUAAGAAUAAUGAUUAAUAGGGACAGUUGGGGGCAUUUGUAUUUAACAGUCAGAGGUGAAAUUCUUAGAUUUGUUAAAGACAAACUAAUGCGAAAGCAUUUGCCAAGGAUGUUUUCGUUAAUCAAGAA